GUAGUCUCGCACAGACGCAUAUCAAUAAGCGGAGGAAAAGAAACUAACAAGGCUUCCCCUAGUAACGGCGAGUGAAGCGGGAAGAGCUCAAAUUUGAAAUCUUAAAGGGUUUCCCUUUACGAAUUGUAGUUUAAAGAAGUGUUUUCUGUUGAGGUUUUGGUAAAAGUUCUUUGGGAAUAGGACAUCAUAGAGGGUGAGAAUCCCGUAUUUGACCUUUACUUUCAACUUUGUGAUACACUUUCAAAGAGUCGGAUUGUUUGGGAAUGCAGUCCAAAAUGGGUGGUAAACUUCAUCUAAAGCUAAAUAUUGGCGAGAGACCGAUAGCGAACAAGUACCGUGAGGGAAAGAUGAAAAGAACUUUGAAAAGAGAGUUAAACAGUACGUGAAAUUGUCAAAAGGGAAGCGUUUGACACCAGUGUUGUUUUUCUGAAAAUCAAUUAAAGAACUGUUUAUGCUAAGCUGUUUAGACUUUAUCAGCUAACUGUUUAGUUUUGAGCUUUUCUUUAAUGCACUUUUCAGUUAGCAAGUCAACAUCAAUUUCUUUUGCUGUAAAAAAGCUUGAGGAAGGUGGCUUGAGAUUCGUCUUAAGUGUUUAUAGCCUCUUGCCUAUGCAGUCGGAGAGAUUGAGGUCUGCAGCGUAGAUCCUUCGGGGCUAAAUGCAUUUGUGACUAAGUUAUAGCAUUUUAUAGACAACUUGUUGACUAUGAUUUGUCUUGUAGCUUACUCGCUUAUGUUAUUUUACCUACGCUUAGGAUGUUGAGUAGCGACAUACGCAC
rnacentral:rRNA from 1 species